rnacentral:rRNA from 1 species
GAGUAACACGUGGAUAACCUACCUAUAAGACUGGGAUAACUUCGGGAAACCGGAGCUAAUACCGGAUAAGAUUUUGAACCGCAUGGUUCAAUAGUGAAAGACGGCCUUGCUGUCACUUAUAGAUGGAUCCGCGCCGUAUUAGCUAGUUGGUAAGGUAACGGCUUACCAAGGCAACGAUACGUAGCCGACCUGAGAGGGUGAUCGGCCACACUGGAACUGAGACACGGUCCAGACUCCUACGGGAGGCAGCAGUAGGGAAUCUUCCGCAAUGGGCGAAAGCCUGACGGAGCAACGCCGCGUGAGUGAUGAAGGUCUUCGGAUCGUAAAACUCUGUUAUCAGGGAAGAACAAACGUGUAAGUAACUGUGCACGUCUUGACGGUACCUGAUCAGAAAGCCACGGCUAACUACGUGCCAGCAGCCGCGGUAAUACGUAGGUGGCAAGCGUUAUCCGGAAUUAUUGGGCGUAAAGCGCGCGUAGGCGGUUUUUUAAGU